rnacentral:rRNA from 1 species
AUUGAACGCUGGCGGCAGGCCUAACACAUGCAAGUCGAGCGGACGAAGGGAGCUUGCUCCUGGAUUCCGCGGCGGACGGGUGAGUAAUGCCUAGGAAUCUGCCUGGUAGUGGGGGAUAACGUCCGGAAACGGGCGCUAAUACCGCAUACGUCCUGCUGGUGAAAGUGGGGGAUCUUCGGACCUCACGCUCUCAGAUGAGCCUAGGUCGGAUUAGCUAGUUGGUGGGGUAAAGGCCUACCAAGGCGACGAUCCGUAACUGGUCUGAGAGGAUGAUCAGUCACACUGGAACGGAGACACGGUCCAGACUCCUACGGGAGGCAGCAGUGGGGAAUAUUGGACAAUGGGCGAAAGCCUGAUCCAGCCAUGCCGCGUGUGUGAAGAAGGUCGUCGGAUUGUAAAGCACGUUAAGUUGGGAGGAAGGGCAGUAAGUUAAUACCGUGCUGUUUGGACGUGACAAACAGAAUAAGCACCGGCUAACUUCGUGC